rnacentral:rRNA from 1 species
CCUACGGGUGGCAGCAGUGGGGAAUAUUGCACAAUGGGGGAAACCCUGAUGCAGCGACGCCGCGUGAGUGAAGAAGGAAUUCGUUAUGUAAAGCUCUAUUAGCAGGGAAGAAAAUGACGGUACCUGAGUAAGAAUCACCGGCUAACUACGUGCCAGCAGCCGCGGUAAUACGUAGGGGGCAGGCGUUAUCCGGAUUUACUGGGGGUAAGGGGAGCGUAGACGGGUUUGCAAGUAUGGAGGCAAAGGCGGGGGGUUAACCCCCGGACUGCUGUGGAAACUGUACGGCUGGAGUGCAGGAGAGGUAAGUGGAAUUCCUAGUGUAGCGGUGAAAUGCGUAGAUAUUAGGAGGAACACCAGUGGCGAAGGCGGCUUACUGGACUGUAACUGACGUUGAGGCUCGAAAGCGUGGGGAGCAAACAGGAUUAGAUACCCCGGUAGUC